rnacentral:rRNA from 1 species
UACCAGCACCCCGAGUGGUCGGGACGAUUAUUGGGCCUAAAGCAUCCGUAGCCGGCCUUACAAGUCCUCCGUUAAAUCCAGCUGCUUAACAGAUGGGCUGCGGAGGAUACUAUAAGACUAGGAGGCAGGAGAGGCAAGCGGUACUCAGUGGGUAGGGGUAAAAUCCGUUGAUCCAUUGAAGACCACCAGUGGCGAAGGCGGCUUGCCAGAAUGCGCUCGACGGUGAGGGAUGAAAGCUGGGGGGAGCAAACCG